GACGAACGCUUGCGGCGUGCCUAAGAAAUGCAAGUCGAGCGAGCUCAAGCCUUCGGGCGGAAAGCUAGCGGCGAACGGUCGAGUAACACGUGAGCAACCUGCCCCAAAGCGGGGGAUAGCCCACCGAAAGGUGGAUUAAUACCGCAUGUGGCCGUUCCGGGGCAUCCCGGGACGAUUAAAGCAGCAAUGCGCUUUGGGAUGGGCUCGCGGCCUAUCAGCUUGUUGGUGGGGUAACGGCCUACCAAGGCUACGACGGGUAGCUGGUCUGAGAGGAUGGUCAGCCGGAUUGGGACUGAGAUACGGCCCAGACUCCUACGGGAGGCAGCAGUCGAGAAUAGUCUACAAUGGUCGGAAGACUGAUAGUGCGACGCCGCGUGAACGAUGAAUCCCUUCGGGGUGUAAAGUUCUUUUAUAUGUGAGCAGUGCUUUCUUAUAUUUAACAGUAUGGGGAGAGAGAUAUUAGCAUAUGAAUAAAGCAACGGCUAAACUCCGUGCC
rnacentral:rRNA from 1 species